GCCUAGUGGUUAAGGCUAUGGAUCGCCAAUCCGGAGAAGGCGGGUUCGAUUCCCGU
rnacentral:tRNA from 1 species